rnacentral:tRNA from 1 species
GGAAGCGUGUCUGAGUGGUUUAAGGUGCUAGCUUGGAAAGUUAGUGAAGGGUAACCUUCCGUAGGUUCGAAUCCUAUCGCUUCCGCCA